UUUUAAUAUGCCUCAGUUUGUCUUUUAACAGUUCUGGUGUCAGAAGAGGGAACAAAGGAAGGAGACCCCGAGCAGCCAGAGUUUCUCGUGACCAGGAUGACACCUGCUGGGACACCCCACUUGCUUUAGAGCCUGCUGAUGGGAUCCUGGGAAAGCUGGCAGAAGCCCAUAAAGGGAGACAUGGGUUCGAUCCCUGGUCCAGGAAGAUCCCACAUGCCGCGGAGCAGCUAAGCCCGUGUGCCACAACUACUGAGCCUGCGCUCUAGAGCCCUCGAGCCACAACUACUGAGCCCAUGUGCCUAGAGCCCGUGCUCCGCAACAAGAGAAGCCACCACAAUGAGAAGCCCGCGCACCGCAAUGAAGAGUAGUCCCUGCUCGCCGCAACUAGAGAAAGCCCGCAUGUAGCAACGAAGACCCAAU